AACAUUCAAAUAAAAGAAGAAACAAACAAACAAAAAGAACAAGAUGAAAAUUGAAUCCAAUAGUUUUUUUUUUGU
rnacentral:ribozyme from 16 species